GAUGAACGCUGGCGGCGUGCCUAAUACAUGCAAGUCGAGCGAACGGACGAGAAGCUUGCUUCUCUGAUGUUAGCGGCGGACGGGUGAGUAACACGUGGAUAACCUACCUAUAAGACUGGGAUAACUUCGGGAAACCGGAGCUAAUACCGGAUGAUAUUUUGAACCGCAUGGUUCAAAAGUGAAAGACGGUCUUGCUGUCACUUAUAGAUGGAUCCGCGCUGCAUUAGCUAGUUGGUAAGGUAAUGGCUUACCAAGGCAACGAUGCAUAGCCGACCUGAGAGGGUGAUCGGCCACACUGGAACUGAGACACGGUCCAGACUCCUACGGGAGGCAGCAGUAGGGAAUCUUCCGCAAAGGGCGAAAGCCUGACGGAGCAACGCCGCGUGAGUGAUGAAGGUCUUCGGAUCGUAAAACCCUGUUAUUAGGGAAGAACAUAUGUGUAAGUAACUGUGCACAUCUUGACGGUACCUAAUCAGAAAGCCACGGCUAACUACGUG
rnacentral:rRNA from 1 species